rnacentral:rRNA from 1 species
CCUACGGGAGGCAGCAGUGAGGAAUAUUGGUCAAUGGCCGUAAGCCUGAACCAGCCAAGUCGCGUGAAUGAAGAAGGAUCUAUGUUUUUUAAACUUCUUUUAUAAAGGAAUAAAACGAGGCACGUGUCCCUUUUUGCAUGUCCUUUAUGAAUAAAGCUCGGCUAACUCCGUGCCAGCAGCCGCGGUAAUACGGAGGAUCCGAGCGUUAUCCGGAUUUAUUGGGUUUAAAGGGAGCGUAGAUGGUUGGUUAAGUCAGUUGUGAAAGUUUGGGGCUCAACCGUAAAAUUGCAAUUGAUAAUGGCAGUCUUGAGUACAGGAGAGGUAGGCGGAAUUCGUGGUGUAGCGGUGAAAUGCUUAGAUAUCAGGAAGAACCCCGAUUGCGAAGGCAGCUUACUAAACUGUGACUGACAUUGAUGCUCGAAAGUGUGGGUAUCAAACAGGAUUAGAUACCCGAGUAGUC